GGAUAAGGUGCUUAAACUGGUGUGGCGAAAUCGAUGAGUAAAACGUCUGAAAAAACCAUUCAACAUCAGAUGCAAGAAACCAGAAUUGCGCAAUGUUCGAUCCAUGAUCAUAUUUUGAAAUUGUUUUCGUUCACGUGCGCCAGAAAUGGCUGAACCCACUGUUAAUGAUUUUACGGACGUGAAGAGAAAUGCCAGCUGGUCUGGUGUCUGAGCAUAACUGCAUGCAUAGAAAAAUCACCAAGUUGGGAUGACGCUUACGUUCUGGCGAAGUGUGCAGGUCACAUACCACAGCAAUAAAAUAGGCUCGAUAUUGUUCGAGGUAUACAAUUCAGUCCAACAAGAGCUUUUGUUUAGAAACGCCGGUGAAGAAAAGAAGAACUUUAUACUUCAUAACAAAAUAAUGUUGUAGCCUCAGGAACCAGGCCGCAAUCCAGGAGGAUCUUCAUCGAAUACAUACUUACGAUAAACCUGUAAUCCUUCAAAAACAGUAAACAUUUUGAGAUUGUUUAAUUUACUUUUAAUCCGACUGUGCCAAUACAUCGUUCAGGCCAAAACCAACUUCUAAUAAUUAUACGUAAGAUUGAAGAUGAGGCACAGUCCGUUCUGCGCAUCGGUUCUGCUCAUAAGGAUAGGACGGGGCAAUUGAUUAAGUUCCCCACAUUUUUUAGAAAGUAACUCGAUUUCAUAUACAUUUUCGAUGUAUACCGGACCAGAAAUCGUGUUAGACAUUCUGACGGUCAUCAUAUUUUAAAAAUAUUCAAAAGAAUUUGUACAUUACGGACUUCAAUAAAUAUGAUGCAACCU